rnacentral:rRNA from 1 species
CACCGCGGUUAAACGAGAGGCCCUAGUUGAUAUUACUACGGCGUAAAGGGUGGUUAAGGAAAGCAUUAUAAUAAAGCCAAAUGGCCCCUUGGCCGUCAUACGCUUCUAGGUGCCCGAAGCCCAACCACACGAAAGUAGCUUUAACAAAGCCCACCUGACCCCACGAAAGCUGAGAAA